AGCUACAGCAAUACUCUCAGCGGGCCAAGUUCACUCAAACCCGUAAUGAGAACAACACAGGAUACAGGCCAUUGUCAGCAGCGGUCAAUCUUCCUCCUCACCCACUCUCUCCCAGCCUCUCUCCCUCGCACACCAGAAGAGAGGAGACGAGCGGAUGGGAGACAUUAGCGGGCGGCGACUGGUCAUGGUGGAGUGAGGCUGUGGCAGAAAGGCGUAAUUUGAGUAAAGAAGCACAAGAUUUAAAGCACACGGGGUAGUGAGGACACACCAGGCGCCUCGUGGUGUUCGUCAGUGGGGAUAAGCGUCAGUGCAACCUCAUCCUGGUGCAGGAAGAUGAGAGGAGGAGCGUCUCUCUUGCUGUGGAUGUUGAUUGUGACGAUGGUGGGGAUAUCUACCAGGUGCCGAGCACUCUCGUGUGGCCCAUGCAACCUAAACUCCUGCCCUGAUGUCUCCCGCUGCACUCACGGCACCGUGCGUUCCGUAUGCGACUGCUGCCACGUAUGUAGAAAGGGGCCUGGGGAAAGCUGCGGAGGGCCGUGGGGCACUGGGGGGCACUGCAAGGAGGGACUGAAAUGCCUGCCUAACUUUAACGUCGCCCAUCUGCCCAAAGAACUUACGAAACACUUAAUGGGCACGUGUAAAGUGGUACCCGAGGCGCCCUCCUGCUAGGCCGAAUGCUGGUAGCUGGACCUUGUCAGUGCAGGUUAGGUUUUGUUUGUGGAUGGGGAGAGGGGAAGCUAAAUUAAGUAUUUGAAACUGACAACAAAUAAGGAGAAUGAUGAAAACAGAAUUGUACAUGCGUUCACCACGGUCUUCAGAAUCACGUGCUGGACUUGUGAUCGCCAGCCACUCCCUCAGAGAGACCUUAUGCAGUCCACUCUGUGGGCAAGACUGAGACUUGUUCACCUGAGAUGGGCAGUAUUUAAAUACAUUUGUAUUUAGAUACGUAUUCAAAUAAUACAUUCGUGUAUUUAGAACUGUAUUUAUAAUCCAUUGGUUUACAUGUAUUUAAUGCAACAUUUUGACUAUUCUGCGAGUAUAUUCAAAUGUUGAAAGAAAAUAUUUUUUUGACUAAUUAACUUUGCCACAAAGCCGUCACCUGCCUGACACCCCUGGCCAGUGCACGCGGCGUGGCUGUGUCGCCACUCCUUGGGGGGUUUUCUACAAAUUCUGAGAUUUCGAACUUUACCUCGGGCUGUUGGGAAUCCAUGGUAAUUUUUUGUCGAAUGUAUGUAUAUACCUAAAGUGUAUUUACAAGUGUAUUUAAGUACAACUGUUGUAUUUAGUAUUUAAAUAAAUUCCUAGAUUGCAUUUAA